rnacentral:rRNA from 1 species
AACGAACGCUGGCGGCAGGCUUAACACAUGCAAGUCGAACGCACCUUUCGGGGUGAGUGGCAGACGGGUGAGUAACGCGUGGGAAUCUACCCUUCUCUACGGGAUAGCUCCGGGAAACUGGAAUUAAUACCGUAUACGUCCUGAGGGAGAAAGAUUUAUCGGGGAAGGAUGAGCCCGCGUUGGAUUAGCUAGUUGGUGGGGUAAAGGCCUACCAAGGCGACGAUCCAUAGGUUGUCUAAGAGGAUGAUCAGCCACAUUGGGACUGAGACACGGCCCAAACUCCUACUGGAGGCAGCCGUGGGGAGUAUUAGACAAUGGGCGCAAGCCUGAUCCAGCCAUGCCGCGUGAGUGAGGAAGGCGCUAGGGUUGUACAGCUCUUUCAGUGGGGACGAUAAUGACGGUACCCACAGAAGAAGCACCGGCUAACUUCGUG